AGCGCAGGCGGUUUUUUUAAGUCUGAUGUGAAAGCCCUUGGCUCAACCAAGGAAGUGCAUCGGAAACUGGAGAACUUGAGUGCAGAAGAGGACAGUGGAACUCCAUGUGUAGCGGUGAAAUGCGUAGAUAUAUGGAAGAACACCAGUGGCGAAGGCGGCUGUCUGGUCUGUAACUGACGCUGAGGACUCCGAAAGGGCCAGGGGAGGCGAACGG
rnacentral:rRNA from 1 species